ACUGAAUAGAUACCCCGGUAGUCCACGCCCUAAACGAUGAUUACUCGACAUACGCGAUACACUGUGUGUGUCUGAGCGAAUGCAUUAAGUAAUCCACCUGGGAAGUACGACCGCAAGGUUGAAACUCAAAGGAAUUGGCGGGGGUUCCGCACAAGCGGUGGAGCAUGUGGUUUAAUUCGAUGAUACGCGAGGAACCUUACCUGGGCUAGAAUGCUGGUUGACCGUGGGUUGAAACGCUCACUUUGUAGCAAUACACAACCUAGUAACGGUGCUGCAUGGCUGUCGUCAGCUCGUGCCGUGA
rnacentral:rRNA from 1 species